rnacentral:rRNA from 1 species
AUAGGGGAGCCGGAGGGAAACCGAGUCUUAAUUGGGCGUUAAGUUGCAGGGUAUAGACCCGAAACCCGGUGAUCUAGCCAUGGGCAGGUUGAAGGUUGGGUAACACUAACUGGAGGACCGAACCGACUAAUGUUGAAAAAUUAGCGGAUGACCUGUGGCUGGGGGUGAAAGGCCAAUCAAACCGGGAGAUAGCUGGUUCUCCCCGAAAGCUAUUUAGGUAGCGCCUCGUGAAUUCAUCUCCGGGGGUAGAGCACUGUUUCGGCUAGGGGGCCAUCCCGGCUUACCAACCCGAUGCAAACUGCGAAUACCGGAGAAUGUUAUCACGGGAGACACACGGCGGGUGCUAACGUCCGUCGUGAAGAGGGAAACAACCCAGACCGCCAGCUAAGGUCCCAAAGUCAUGGUUAAGUGGGAAACGAUGUGGGAAGGCCCAGACAGCCAGGAUGUUGGCUUAGAAGCAGCCAUCAUUUAAAGAAAGCGUAAUAGCUCACUGGUCGAGUCGGCCUGCGCGGAAGAUGUAACGGGGCUAAACCAUGCACCGAAGCUGCGGCAGCGAACGUAUCACCCAAGACAACUUUACGGAGUUGACGAUUGACGGAGCGAAGCGACGUCAAAGCGUUCAUUAAAGUCGAGUUGGCUUAGGGAUACGUUCGUUGGGUAGGGGAGCGUUCUGUAAGCCUGUGAAGGUGUGUCGUGAGGCAUGCUGGAGGUAUCAGAAGUGCGAAUGCUGACAUAAGUAACGAUAAAGCGGGUGAAAAGCCCGCUCGCCGGAAGACCAAGGGUUCCUGUCCAACGUUAAUCGGGGCAGGGUGAGUCGACCCCUAAGGCGAGGCCGAAAGGCGUAGUCGAUGGGAAACGGGUUAAUAUUCCCGUACUUGGUGUUACUGCGAAGGGGGGACGGAGAAGGCUAUGUUGGCCGGGCGACGGUUGUCCCGGUUUAAGCGUGUAGGUGUGUGUUCCAGGUAAAUCCGGUUCACUUUAACACUGAGGCGUGACGACGAGGCACUACGGUGCUGAAGCAACAAAUGCCCUGCUUCCAGGAAAAGCCUCUAAGCAUCAGGUAACAUCAAAUCGUACCCCAAACCGACACAGGUGGUCAGGUAGAGAAUACCAAGGCGCUUGAGAGAACUCGGGUGAAGGAACUAGGCAAAAUGGUGCCGUAACUUCGGGAGAAGGCACGCUGACACGUAGGUGAAGUGAUUUACUCAUGGAGCUGAAGUCAGUCGAAGAUACCAGCUGGCUGCAACUGUUUAUUAAAAACACAGCACUGUGCAAACACGAAAGUGGACGUAUACGGUGUGACGCCUGCCCGGUGCCGGAAGGUUAAUUGAUGGGGUCAGCGUAAGCGAAGCUCCUGAUCGAAGCCCCGGUAAACGGCGGCCGUAACUAUAACGGUCCUAAGGUAGCGAAAUUCCUUGUCGGGUAAGUUCCGACCUGCACGAAUGGCGUAAUGAUGGCCAGGCUGUCUCCACCCGAGACUCAGUGAAAUUGAACUCGCUGUGAAGAUGCAGUGUACCCGCGGCAAGACGGAAAGACCCCGUGAACCUUUACUAUAGCUUGACACUGAACAUUGAGCCUUGAUGUGUAGGAUAGGUGGGAGGCUUUGAAGUGUGGACGCCAGUCUGCAUGGAGCCGACCUUGAAAUACCACCCUUUAAUGUUUGAUGUUCUAACGUGGACCCGUUACCCGGGUUGCGGACAGUGUCUGGUGGGUAGUUUGACUGGGGCGGUCUCCUCCUAAAGAGUAACGGAGGAGCACGAAGGUUGGCUAAUCCUGGUCGGACAUCAGGAGGUUAGUGCAAUGGCAUAAGCCAGCUUGACUGCGAGCGUGACGGCGCGAGCAGGUGCGAAAGCAGGUCAUAGUGAUCCGGUGGUUCUGAAUGGAAGGGCCAUCGCUCAACGGAUAAAAGGUACUCCGGGGAUAACAGGCUGAUACCGCCCAAGAGUUCAUAUCGACGGCGGUGUUUGGCACCUCGAUGUCGGCUCAUCACAUCCUGGGGCUGAAGUAGGUCCCAAGGGUAUGGCUGUUCGCCAUUUAAAGUGGUACGCGAGCUGGGUUUAGAACGUCGUGAGACAGUUCGGUCCCUAUCUGCCGUGGGCGCUGGAGAACUGAGGGGGGCUGCUCCUAGUACGAGAGGACCGGAGUGGACGCAUCACUGGUGUUCGGGUUGUCAUGCCAAUGGCACUGCCCGGUAGCUAAAUGCGGAAGAGAUAAGUGCUGAAAGCAUCUAAGCACGAAACUUGCCCCGAGAUGAGUUCU